rnacentral:rRNA from 1 species
GGUUAAGUGACUAAGCGUACACGGUGGAUGCCUUGGCAGUUGGAGGCGAUGAAGGACGUAUUAACUUGCGAUAAGCCUAGUCAAGCUAGUAAAAAGCACUUGAGACUAGGAUUUCCGAAUGGGGAAACCCACCUGCUUGCAGGUAUCGUUAACUGAAUACAUAGGUUAACGAGGCGAACACGGAGAACUGAAACAUCUAAGUACCCGUAGGAAAAGAAAUCAACCGAGAUUUCGAAAGUAGCGGCGAGCGAAAUCGGAACAGCCCUUAAGCUUAUUACGUGUUAAUGGAAGGCUGCUGGAAAGCGCCACGAUACAGGGUGAUAGUCCCGUACAUGAAAAGACAUUUUAAGUGAAAUCGAGUAGGUCGGAGCACGUGAAACUUUGACUGAAUAUAGGUGG